AAGAAACCUUCCACACAAUCCCUUUUGCUCUCUUUCUUCUGCUACUGCUAGCAAUACAUAUCUUCCUUGAUUUAUAAUAUAUUGUCAGUCAGGGAUUUAAUGGCUCCUUCUAAGACAUUAAUGGUUCUCUUUGUUACAAUCUUGCUGAUGAUGUCCUCUAUUCAAGUACUGUCUGCUGAAAGUUCUGGAAUCCCAAUAUCUAUUACAGGAAGGAAAUUAGCUCAGGCUACGGCUACAUAUUCCGGUCCAAGAGGAGGAGGAGGAUGCUACCCUCCGAACUGUGAUUAAGGGUCCAUUAUAUAUUCAUAGGUCGCAGGGCCCUUUGGCAGCUACAGUACAGCUGGCAGGGGAGCAUACAGUUAGCAAUACCCAUGUAGACUUACAGGAAUUAAAUAAAAAUGUUGAAGACUAUCAACCUAAUGUGGAUUGGAGGGAUGUUAUUAACGUUUGUGUAAACUGAACUUCUAUUGAAUUAUGAUGAUUGUUACAUAAGACUAA